AUUGAACGCUGGCGGCAUGCCUUACACAUGCAAGUCGAACGGCAGCACGGGGCAACCUGGUGGCGAGUGGCGAACGGGUGAGUAAUGCAUCGGAACGUACCUUUCAGUGGGGGAUAACGUAGCGAAAGUUACGCUAAUACCGCAUAUUCUGUGAGCAGGAAAGCAGGGGAUCGCAAGACCUUGCGCUGAUUGAGCGGCCGAUGUCAGAUUAGCUAGUUGGUGAGGUAAAGGCUCACCAAGGCGACGAUCUGUAGCGGGUCUGAGAGGAUGAUCCGCCACACUGGAACUGAGACACGGUCCAGACUCCUACGGGAGGCAGCAGUGGGGAAUUUUGGACAAUGGGGGCAACCCUGAUUCAGCCAUGCCGCGUGAGUGAAGAAGGCCUUCGGGUUGUAAAGCUCUUUCGGCCGGGAAGAAAUCGCACGGGCUAAUACCCUGUGUGGAUGACGGUACCGGAAUAAGAAGCACCGGCUAACUACGUGCCAGCCGCCGCAGUAACAC
rnacentral:rRNA from 1 species